rnacentral:rRNA from 1 species
UGUCUCAAAGAUUAAGCCAUGCAUGUCUAAGUUCACACUGUCCCAUGGUGAAACCGCGAAUGGCUCAUUAAAUCAGUCGAGGUUCCUUAGAUGACACGAUCCUACUUGGAUAACUGUGGCAAUUCUAGAGCUAAUACAUGCAAUCGAAGCUCCGACCUUUAUCGGGAAGAGCGCUUUUAUUAGUUCAAAACCAAUCGGCGCGGCCUCGCAAGGGGUUGCGUCGUCCCAAUUGGUGACUCUGGAUAACUUUGUGCUGAUCGCAUGGCCUCGCGCCGGCGACGCAUCUUUCAAAUGUCUGCCCUAUCAAAUGUCGAUGGUACGUGAUAUGCCUACCAUGUUUGUAACGGGUAACGGGGAAUCAGGGUUCGAUUCCGGAGAGGGAGCAUGAGAA